GUACCCUCCAGCCCUGCUGGGUGUUGGGCGUUUUGUUCCGCUGCGCGCGUGAACUCGCCUCAAAUGUAUUGGCAGCCCGCCGUCCCGUGUGGGAGCGCAGCACAUUUUGCGCUCUCCGCUGCUGACGGUGGCAUCCACAAGUCUACCAUUUUAC
rnacentral:misc_RNA from 1 species